CUGCGCCGAGUGCGAACGGUGAGUAAUGUAUCGGAACGUGCCCAGUAGCGGGGGACAACCACUCGAAAGAGUGGCUUAAUACCGCAUACGCCCUACGGGGGAAAGGGGGGGAUCGCAAGACCUCUCACUAUUGGAGCGGCCGAUAUCGGAUUAGCUAGUUGGUGGGGUAAAGGCCUACCAAGGCGACGAUCCGUAGCUGGUUUGACAGCACGACCAGCCACCUGGGACUGAGACACGGCCCAGACUCCUACGGGAGGCAGCAGUGGGGAAUUUUGGACAAUGGGGGCAACCCUGAUCCAGCCAUGCCGCGUGAGUGAAGAAGGCCUUCGGGUUGUAAAGCUCUUUCGUCCGGGAAGAAAUCGCAUCAGCUAAUACCUGGUGGGAUGACGGUAC
rnacentral:rRNA from 1 species